GGGCGCGGGCCCGAAGCUGGGCCCCGGCGGGCGGCGGCGGCGGCGGAGGCGGCGGUGGCGGCGGCGGCGGGCGGCGGCGGCGGAGGCAGCGGCCGCCUCGGUGCUCGGUGCGCGCCGCUCCGCUCCCUGGUGUGUUGAUUCUUCCCCCAGCUGCUGCUUAAUGGAGUCCGGGCGCUGGCGUCACAGGAAAUGCCUAUACUGCCCUCCUCGCUCACUUCCGGCAGCAGUGUUCCAUCAGAUAGAUGCCUUGGUCCCGGUUCCUGCUGCCUCUCAGACAGGGGGGAUUGAGGCAUCGAGGCAGAUCCUGGCCUGCCGUUUUCAGGUGACGGGUGUGUUCCACUGUCACCGAGCUGUACGCGGCUUUCUUGAAUGGAGGAAUACGGCAGCAGAGGGCUGAGAUGAAUGUUGCUCAGUGGUGAAUGGUCCUCAGGACCCCCUCGUCAGUUACAGGUGUAUGAUUGCUAACACGUAGACCUGGACGGGAAAGCUUGAGCUGAGGCCUGCUGAGGAAUGCUUCCUUUGGCUUUGUUUUGCAUGUCAACAAGCACAGCUAUUUGUCACCACUUCAGAAGCUCUUUGACUAUAGAUGAGGAAGGCCACCUGUCCACGUGGGAGGGAUGCUCGUGACCAGAACCUGCCUGAGCAUUUAGCCUGACCUUGUGUGCCAGGCUGGCAUCUGAUGCGGGAAGUGCUGUUUUUGUAUGUUCACCUCAGCAAUUUCCUGACUCACUCUCUAGAAGGGACACGCCCCAUGGUCCUGACUAGGAAACUUUGGAGAUGUGAUGCUGGCCUUUGUCUGCUGACCGUGGGCUUGGAGGUGGAGCCAUUUAAAAAAGGAUUAGCCGAGGAUGGAGCUGUUGUCAUUAGGAUACCACACGUGGCAAACGCGACAUGACCGCCUACCUCUUGGAUGACUCACAGGCCUAACUCGUGAUUAACUUGGAGGGUGGGCAAGCAGAACUGGAUGUCCCUCCCGAAACAGGAGGGCUGUUCCCCAACUAUGGGACAGCAACCGUGUCUUGACUUCAGAAAGCAGCCCUGCCGUGACAGGAGGACUGAGCCCGACCACGUUUGUAUGUCUCACGGAGAUUUGACAGUUUUGAGCAGCUUCUCUAGCGACCAGGGAGGCCAGCUGGAUUGCCCAUAGAAGUCAAAAGAAGGCAUCAGAUCCCCUGAAACUGGAGUUACAGAUGGUUGUGAACAAAGUGUCUCUACGUAGCCCUAGCUGUCCUAGAACUCACUAUGUAGACCAAGCUGCACUCAAAUUGACAGAGAUCCACCUGCCUCAGCUUCCUGAGUGUUGGGAUAAAAGCAGGAGAGCUUAGAGCUGAACAGGACAAAGCAACCUUGGGAGUACUGGGACCACAGAGCCAAAACCAAGAAAAUCUUCGCCGUUGAAUAGAUCCACCACCACCCUCAUGACAGCCAUCUUUAUGAAUUUGUGGACCCGUUAACACUUUUUAAGAACACGAACAGGCUGGCAGCUCUUCAGGGAAAGAGAAGCCUUGUCAUCCGAAGAUGGGGUCCUCACACUGCAGCUGCGCUGUUUCAGAGCCCACCUGCUCUAAACUGCCCUGUCUCCGACUCCUCAUCAGGCACCUGCCCUUCCGAUAGAGUGGCGCCCUGCUCCCUCCUUUCCUGCAGUCUGGCUGUGUCUCCCAAGGUGAUCAGGAACCUACUUCCCUCAGCCACUCCCUGCCCCACCCCCAAGAUGACCAGGCACCUCCCUCAGCCACUCCCUGCCUCACCCCACCCCCCAAGUCCCCACUACCACUCAGAGCAGAAACUUCAGCAGCCAUCAUGUGACCUUGAAGAUGGAAGUCACAUGCCAGAGAAGACAGAAGGCAGAGACACAGAUAACUUCAAAGAGCUAACUGAAUAGCACCUGACUCCCACUCUUUGUAAAGCAAAGAGAAUAAAUCCUUGUAUGUAAACGACUAGAUUUUCUGUUGCAGGCAGUUGAACCUGAUUGUAACAGAUAAUGCGAUAGCCAAGUGUUUUCCUGUUCCUAUCUACACUUGCAAAAGAGCAGAAAUAACAUGACUGACGACUUCAGUCUCUGGUGGGGCCUCCCCUCUGGCAGAGCUCUGUAAACACUGUAAAACUGGUCUGUCUGUGCUAGCUUUCUUACAGUUACUGAAUUUGAAGUCUUUCUCAGGGUAGGGGUGGGGUGAAGCUGGACUCUCCUAAGAACAUGACGUUGCAUAGCUGUUUAAACACGGGGACAGGAUGAGGAGAGGUGAUAAGGAUUCAGAGCAGGGCGGCAGGCUGCCCCUUACUGCCUCUGUGAAAUGCACAUUUGGAGUCUGUAAAGCCCUGGCACGGAGCUUAGAGGAAGCGGG
ensembl:lncRNA